rnacentral:lncRNA from 1 species
GGAAGUGAAAAAGUAAAAGCUUAUCCUACGUAUGUAUAUGUGUAGAGACUAGGAAAGAAUCUAGUCUGAGGAGACCUCGGUAGCAUCCAUAGUUUCAAGCAUCCCCUAGGUGUCUUGAAACUUAUUCCCUACAGAUCCUGCUGUUUCACUAUUUCUUUUCAAAAAUCUAACUUUUUUCCAGAUGUGAUACUUUUGCCGCCAGCCAACCGGCCACAACCUAUCCGAGAAAGCUCAGAAAGACAAAGAGUGAGUGACAGGAAGUGCUACAUGGAAAACACACCAAACUGUCGAAGCAUGCCAACAAUUUCCUUAUCGAUCCUCAUCACAAUGUGAAUUCUUGGCCCAUGAGCUCUGGGAAAAAGAACUGUAAUGGAUGGGAAUGGCAUUAACCACAGAGGAGACACUAGAAAAAAGAAGCUGUAAUGAAGUGAAACAUGUCAAGUGCCUUUAAAUUCCCAGUUUCUUC